rnacentral:rRNA from 1 species
GACGAACGCUGGCGGCGUGCUUAACACAUGCAAGUCGAACGGUGAAGCGAGUGCUUGCCCGCGUGGAUCAGUGGCGAACGGGUGAGUAACACGUGAGUAACCUGCCCAUCACUCUGGGAUAAGCACUGGAAACGGUGUCUAAUACUGGAUACGACCAACCCUUGCAUGGGGGGUUGGUGGAAAGAUUUAUCGGUGGUGGAUGGACUCGCGGCCUAUCAGCUUGUUGGCGGGGUAAUGGCCCACCAAGGCGACGACGGGUAGCCGGCCUGAGAGGGUGACCGGCCACACUGGGACUGAGACACGGCCCAGACUCCUACGGGAGGCAGCAGUGGGGAAUAUUGCACAAUGGGCGGAAGCCUGAUGCAGCGACGCCGCGUGCGGGAUGACGGCCUUCGGGUUGUAAACCUCUUUCAGCAGGGAAGAAGCGAGAGUGACGGUACCUGCAGAAGAAGCACCGGCUAACUACGCG